GAGCUGUGAUGAAUCCGGCGCUCAAUGAUGGAUGGGGUCCAUCAGCAUCAUCUGAAUGUUAAGAUGAUAUUAAACGCGACUGAGCUC